rnacentral:lncRNA from 1 species
CGGGUGCGAGUGCUGCCUUGUAGCGGCAUUAGCCUGCUCUUUUUCGAAAUCUACAAGGGUGUCUUUAACGUGCAAGAGAUAUGGCUCUCUCUUAACACGGGUCAGCCAUUAUUGUCCCCUUCCGACGGACUAUCAUCGUUUCCUCGAGACCAUACUCGCAAAUGGUGUCAAGGGAGAGCCGAAAAUUCAGUUCCUGAAAUUUUCAUCCCAGACGGGAA